rnacentral:rRNA from 1 species
CCAAUAGCGUAUAUUAAAGUUGUUGCAGUUAAAAAGCUCAUAGUUGAAUUUCGGGACUAAUAUGUUGGUCGUGCUUUUGUACGUACUGGCAUUAUUGGUUUCUACCUUCUGAAGAACCGCGAUGUCAUUAAUUUGGUGUCGUGGGGAAUCAGGACUGUUACUUUGAAAAAAUUAGAGUGUUUAAAGCAGGCUCACGCUUGAAUAGGUUAGCAUGGAAUAAUGAAAUAGGACGUUUGAUUCUAUUUUGUUGGUUUCUAGGAUCGACAUAAUGAUUAAUAGGGAUAGUUGGGGGCAUUAGUAUUCAAUUGUCAGAGGUGAAAUUCUUGGAUUUAUUGAAGACUAACUACUGCGAAAGCAUUUGCCAAGGAUGUUUUCAUUAAUCAAGAACGAAAGUUAGGGGAUCGAAGACGAUCAGAUACCGUCGUAGUCUUAACCAUAAAUUAUGCCGACUAGGGAUCGGAUGAUGUUAAUUCUUUAAUGACUCAUUCGGCGCCUUACG